rnacentral:lncRNA from 1 species
GGAAAUACAUAUACAGGAAAAUAAAUAAUAAGUAAAUAAUAUAAAUAUAUAAUAUAUGAAUUAUAUAUAUAAUAAUAAGUAAAUACACAAUUUUUUUAAAAAAUGGAAAAAGUUCAUUAAGCAUUAAACAUCUAUCUUAAAAUAUAAAAUAUAUGAUAAAAGUAAAUACACAAUUUAAAAAAAUGGAAAAAGUACAUUAAGAUUUAAAUAUCUAUUUUAAAAUAUAAAAUAUAGAUAUUACGUAAAUAAAAAAUAUAAGAAAUGGAAAUAAACAUUAUAAAAAAUGAAAAAAGUACAUUAAGCUUUAAUCAUCGAUCUUAAAAUGUACAUCUAUCUUAAAAUGAUAGUAAAUUAUAUAAAAAUGGAAAUACCACAUUUAGCAAAAAAAAAUAAAAAUGUAUAGUUUUACAUCAAGAAAGUCCCUAUAAAACUCAUUAUUCCAUCAACAUCAACCUCACUUUAUCAAGGAAAACUUCAAAGCACUCGAGCAAAAAAAUGAUUCCACCAUCAACUCUUGCCGUCCCAAAAACCUUUAAUGACCUUGAAAGAGAUUUUUUAUAACAACGAACUUUUUGUUAGGUGGAUUCAUUGUUGGGAAACCCGCAACUUUCAAAAACCAAACUUAUUCAUUGGAAUUGAAUUGCUUUUCAUAGACUCAAAGGUAUUCUUACAAAUUUAAAUUAAUCAAAUCCAUAAUUUUAUUGUUAAUAUUCGUACUAACUCUUUCAUGAUCAAACCAUUACAGUUAAUAAUCAUUCAAGCGUUUAUCCCGAAACACUUCCUUC